GCCUCUGUGGUUUGAUGGGUCAGUGUGUCUGGCUAUUUACCAGAACGUUGCUGGUUCGAGCCCACCCAGGGAUU